UUGACGUAGCUCAGUUGGUAGAGCAUUGGAUUGGCAAGCCAAGGCCGCGGGUUUCGAUCCCACCAUAGUCAAG